AUUGAACGCUGGCGGCAUGCUUUACACAUGCAAGUCGAACGGCAGCACGGACUUCGGUCUGGUGGCGAGUGGCGAACGGGUGAGUAACAUAUCGGAACGUAUCCAAUAAUGGGGGAUAACUAAUCGAAAGGUUGGCUAAUACCGCAUACGCCCUACGGGGGAAAGCUAGGGACCUUCGGGCCUGGCGUUAAUGGAGCGGCCGAUAUCUGAUUAGCUAGUUGGUGGGGUAAAGGCCCACCAAGGCGACGAUCAGUAGCUGGUCUGAGAGGACGACCAGACACACUGGAGCUGAGACACGGUCCAGACGCCUACGGGAGGCAGCAGUGGGGAAUUUUGGACAAUGGGCGCAAGCCUGAUCCAGCCAUUCCGCGUGAGUGAAGAAGGCCUUCGGGUUGUAAAGCUCUUUCGCAAGGGAAGAAAACUUACCCUCUAACAUAGGGUGAGGUUGACGGUACCUUGAUAAGAAGCACCGGCUAACUACGUGCCAGCAGCCGCCGUAAGAC
rnacentral:rRNA from 1 species